rnacentral:rRNA from 1 species
UACGGAGGAUGCGAGCGUUAUCCGGAUUUAUUGGGUUUAAAGGGUGCGUAGGCGGAUUUCUAAGUCAGCGGUCAAAUGUCGGGGCUCAACCCCGGCCUGCCGUUGAAACUGGAGGUCUUGAGUGGGCGAGAAGUAUGCGGAAUGCGUGGUGUAGCGGUGAAAUGCAUAGAUAUCACGCAGAACUCCGAUUGCGAAGGCAGCAUACCGGCGCCCGACUGACGCUGAGGCACGAAAGCGUGGGUAUCGAA